rnacentral:rRNA from 1 species
AUUGAACGCUGGCGGCAGGCUUAACACAUGCAAGUCGAGCGGAGAGAGGUAGCUUGCUACUGAUCUUAGCGGCGGACGGGUGAGUAAUGCUUAGGAAUCUGCCUAUUAGUGGGGGAUAACAUUUCGAAAGGAGUGCUAAUACCGCAUACGUCCUACGGGAGAAAGCAGGGGAUCUUCGGACCUUGCGCUAAUAGAUGAGCCUAAGUCGGAUUAGCUAGUUGGUGGGGUAAAGGCCUACCAAGGCGACGAUCUGUAGCGGGUCUGAGAGGAUGAUCCGCCACACUUGGACUGAGACACGGCCCAGACUCCUACGGGAGGCAGCAGUGGGGAAUAUUGGACAAUGGGCGCAAGCCUGAUCCAGCCAUGCCGCGUGUGUGAAGAAGGCCUUAUGGUUGUAAAGCACUUUAAGCGAGGAGGAGGCUACUUUAGUUAAUACCUAGAGAUAGUGGACGUUACUCGCAGAAUAAGCACCGGCUAACUCUGUGCCAGCCGCCGCUGUAACAC